rnacentral:rRNA from 1 species
GAUGAACGCUGGCGGCGUGCCUAAUACAUGCAAGUCGAGCGAACAGACGAGGAGCUUGCUCCUCUGAUGUUAGCGGCGGACGGGUGAGUAACACGUGGAUAACCUACCUAUAAGACUGGGAUAACUUCGGGAAACCGGAUCUAAUACCGGAUAACAUGUUGAACCGCAUGGUUCAACAGUGGAAGACGGUCCUGCUGUCACUUAUCGCUGGAUCCGCCCCGCAUUAGCUAAUUGGUAAGCUAACGGCUUACCAAGGCAACGAUGCGUAGCCGACCGGAGAGGGUGAUCGGCCACACUGGAACUGAGACACGGUCCAGACUCCUACGGGAGGCAGCAGUAGGGAAUCGUCCGCAGAGGGCGAAAGCCUGACGGAGCAACGCCGCGUGAGUGAAGAAGGUCUUCGGAGCGUAAAACUCUGUUAUUAGGGAAAAACAAAUGUGUAAGUAAAUAUGCACGUCUUGACGGUACCUAAUCAGAAAGCCACGGCUAACUACGUG